rnacentral:lncRNA from 1 species
UUCAUCCUGUCCGGGGUAAGGGGUGGUCCCAGUGUAUCGGUGGGGCAUAAAAAGGGGAGUAAAGCCUGGAGGAAGAAAUGAAAGGUGGGAGAGCAAUCUGGGGCGACAAGGGCCCUGUGGUUUCCUGGUGUUCGUAAGUGAAUGUGCUCCAGUUAGAGCAACAGGAUGUUGGGGGAAUGAAGGGAAAGAGUUGGUAUCAA